UAAUACGGAGGGUGCGAGCGUUAAUCGGAAUUACUGGGCGUAAAGCGCGCGUAGGUGGUCUGUUAAGUCGGAUGUGAAAGCCCCGGGCUUAACCUGGGAACUGCAUCCGAUACUGGCAGACUAGAGUGCGGGAGAGGGAGGUAGAAUUCCACGUGUAGCGGUGAAAUGCGUAGAUAUGUGGAGGAAUACCAGUGGCGAAGGCGGCCUCCUGGCUCGACACUGACACUGAGGUGCGAAAGCGUGAGGAGCAAACAGGAUUAGAUACCCUGGUAGUCCACGCCGUAAACGAUGUCUACUAGCUGUAGGGGUACUUGAGACCUUUGUAGCGCAGCUAACGCAAUAAGUAGACCGCCUGGGGAGUACGGCCGCAAGGUUA
rnacentral:rRNA from 1 species